AUGUGGGCUGAUAUUUGCUUGCCCAAGGAUCGGGGUGGCCUCGGCAUCACGGCCUCACGCCGCAUGAACGUCGCCCUCAUGUUGCAUUGGGUCUGGCGGAUCAUGCGGGGCGAUGGGGGUCUGUGGCUUCAGUUGGUGGAGGAAAAAUAUUUGCAGGGAGAGCCUGUUCUCGCUCAGCCAGGUCUCAAUUCUGAAGAUCUAUCCAGGCGAGUAAGGAUGAGAUCCGGCUGGGUGCUACCUUCUCAGUUGGCAAUGGGAAUAGCACCCAUUUCUGGAUUAACCCCUCGCUGGAUGGGGAGCCGCUUCGUGUUUGGUUUCCUAGGUUGUUUGCUAUAUGCGAGGACCCGCAUCCGUGGUCUCCGCGGCCAGUUUGGAUGA
rnacentral:rRNA from 1 species